UCGGGAAUUUUGGGCAAUGGGCGAAAGCCUGACCCAGCAACGCCGCGUGAAGGAUGAAGUAUUUCGGUAUGUAAACUUCGUAAGAAUAGGAAGAAUAAAUGACGGUACUAUUUGUAAGGUCCGGCUAACUACGUGCCAGCAGCCGCGGUAAUACGUAGGGACCAAGCGUUGUUCGGAUUUACUGGGCGUAAAGGGCGCGUAGGCGGCAAUUCAAGUCAUCUGUGAAAUCUCCGGGCUUAACUCGGAACGGUCAGAUGAUACUGCUUUGCUAGAGUGCAGAAGGGGCAAUCGGAAUUCUUGGUGUAGCGGUGAAAUGCGUAGAUAUCAAGAGGAACACCUGAGGUGAAGACGGGUUGCUGGGCUGACACUGACGCUGAGGCGCGAAAGCCAGGGGAGCAAACGGGAUUAGAUACCCCUGUAGUCCCUGAGCGGGCUGGCAAGGCGCAU
rnacentral:rRNA from 1 species